rnacentral:rRNA from 1 species
AACGAACGCUGGCGGCGCGCCUAAUACAUGCAAGUCGAGCGAGAAGACGUAGCAAUACGUUUGUAAAGCGGCGAACGGGUGAGGAAUACAUGGGUAACCUACCCUCGAGUGGGGAAUAACUAGCCGAAAGGUUAGCUAAUACUGCGUACGCUCCUUGGACUUCGGUCCAGGGAGGAAAGCGAUACCGUGGGUAUCGCGCUCUUGGAUGGGCUCAUGUCCUAUCAGCUUGUUGGUGAGGUAACGGCUCACCAAGGCUUCGACGGGUAGCUGGUCUGAGAGGACGGCCAGCCACACUGGGACUGAGACACGGCCCAGACUCCUACGGGAGGCAGCAGUGGGGGAUCUUGCGCUAAUGCGCGAAAGCGUGACGCAGCGACGCCGCGUGGGGGA